AUUGAACGCUGGCGGCAUGCUUUACACAUGCAAGUCGAACGGUAACAGGCCGCAAGGUGCUGACGAGUGGCGAACGGGUGAGUAAUGCAUCGGAACGUGCCCAGUCGUGGGGGAUAACGCAGCGAAAGCUGCGCUAAUACCGCAUACGAUCUAUGGAUGAAAGCGGGGGACCGUAAGGCCUCGCGCGAUUGGAGCGGCCGAUGUCAGAUUAGGUAGUUGGUGGGGUAAAGGCUCACCAAGCCAACGAUCUGUAGCUGGUCUGAGAGGACGACCAGCCACACUGGGACUGGGACACGGCCCAGACUCCGACGGGAGGCAGCAGUGGGGAAUUUUGGACAAUGGGCGCAAGCCUGAUCCAGCAAUGCCGCGUGCAGGAAGAAGGCCUUCGGGUUGUAAACUGCUUUUGUACGGAACGAAACGGUCCGGGUUAAUACCCUGGGCUAAUGACGGUACCGUAAGAAUAAGCACCGGCUAACUACGUGCCAGCAGCCGCAGUAAGAC
rnacentral:rRNA from 1 species